rnacentral:rRNA from 1 species
AUUGAACGCUGGCGGCAGGCCUAACACAUGCAAGUCGAACGAGUGGCGGACGGGUGAGUAAUGUCUGGGAAACUGCCCGAUGGAGGGGGAUAACUACUGGAAACGGUAGCUAAUACCGCAUACCAUCGGAUGUGCCCAGAUGGGAUAAGCUAGUAGGUGGGGUAACGGCUCACCUAGGCGACGAUCCCUAGCUGGUCUGAGAGGAUGACCAGCCACGCUGGAACUGAGACGCGGUCCAGACUCAGACGGGAGGCAGCAGUGGGGAAAAUUGCACACUGGGCGCGCGCCUGAUGCAGCCAUGCCGCUUGUAUGAAGAAGGCCUUCGGGUUGUAAACAGCUUUCAGCCAUGACGCGGUAGUGGCAGAAGAAGCACCGGCUAACUACGUGCCAGCAGCCGCGGUAAUAC